GACGAACGCUGGCGGCGUGCUUAACACAUGCAAGUCGAGCGGUAAGGCCCUUUCGGGGGUACACGAGCGGCGAACGGGUGAGUAACACGUGGGUGACCUGCCCUUAGCUCUGGGAUAAGCCUGGGAAACUGGGUCUAAUACCGGAUAUGACUCCAUGACGCAUGUUGUGGGGUGGAAAGCCUUGUGCGGCUAGGGAUGGGCCUGCGGCCUAUCAGCUUGUUGGUGGGGUGAUGGCCUACCAAGGCGACGGCGGGUAGCCGGCCUGAGAGGGCGACCGGCCACACUGGGACUGAGACACGGCCCAGACUCCUACGGGAGGCAGCAGUGGGGAAUCUUGCGCAAUGGGCGAAAGCCUGACGCAGCGACGCCGCGUGGGGAUGACGGCCUCGG
rnacentral:rRNA from 1 species